rnacentral:rRNA from 1 species
UACGUAGGGUGCGAGCGUUGUCCGGAAUUAUUGGGCGUAAAGAGCUUGUAGGCGGUUUGUCGCGUCUGCUGUGAAAAUCCGGGGCUCAACCCCGGACUUGCAGUGGGUACGGGCAGACUAGAGUGUGGUAGGGGAGACUGGAAUUCCUGGUGUAGCGGUGAAAUGCGCAGGUAUCAGGAGGGACACCGAUGGCGAAGGCAGGUCUCUGGGCCACUACUGACGCUGAGGUGCGAAAGCGUGGGGAGCAAACAGG